rnacentral:rRNA from 1 species
CUACGGGGGGCAGCAGUGGGGAAUAUUGGACAAUGGGGGAAACCCUGAUCCAGCAAUGCCGCGUGUGUGAAGAAGGCCUGCGGGUUGUAAAGCACUUUCGGUUGGGAGGACUGCUUCUAGCACUAAUAUUGUUGGAAGUUGACGUUACCUUCAGAAGAAGCACCGGCUAACUCCGUGCCAGCAGCCGCGGUAAUACGGGGGGGUGCAAGCGUUAAUCGGAAUUACUGGGCGUAAAGCGCGCGUAGGCGGCUAGAUCAGUCGGGUGUGAAAGCCCCGGGCUUAACCUGGGAACUGCAUCCGAUACUGUCUAGCUUGAGUACAGGAGAGGAGAGUGGAAUUCCACAUGUAGCGGUGAAAUGCGUAGAUAUGUGGAGGAACACCAAUGGCGAAGGCAGCUCUCUGGCCUGAUACUGACGCUGAGGUGCGGAAGCGUGGGGAGCAAACAGGAUUAGAUACCCCUGUAGUC